GGGGGCCAAGAAACGAGAGGCCCCGGCCCCUCCCUGGGCGGGGUCCUGCGUGGCCCCACAACCUUCCCUUCUGCUUAAGGCCAAAGGGUAAACUGAGGCCGCUGUCUGGCGAGGCCCAGCAAGGUGAGAAUUGGUGUCCCUUUACAGUUGAAGAAACCAGGAAGGAGGUUGAGUAACUCUUCCAGGCCGCUUCUAAGAAUGGAGACAAGAACAUGAUCCCCAGGAAGAAGUCCAGACCUGCCAUAACCAGAGCAAAAUUAAUCUCUGGUUCAGAUCCCUCGUGCUGACUUGUGUUUUAAAGAGUGCUUAAGGACAAAAAUGGGAUAAGGAAGGCAGCUGCUGUAUUCAGUGAUGUGGUAAUGGAGAUUCCAGAAAGAACUUAUGACAAAUAUGCUAUGGAAGAUUUUUAAGAAAAGCAGCUAUGUUUUAAAGAAGAAAAGGAGGGAUAAUGGUGACGGAACUCAUCAGGUCCCUAAACCACGAGAACCUAUAAAAAUAUCCAGGCACCUCAAGCCCUAACAUCCGAAUAGUCCUACAACCCAAGCACUAUAGGAUUCAAAAGGGUCUAGAAAGAGGAGUCGGGGAGGAGGGGCCCUCAGUUUUGACAAGGCCGACAGGAGCCACAAACCAGAUGCCCCGGAGAGCUGGCUCAGUGGGACGGCCCGGCCCCACCCCGCCAGUCCCAGAGGCAAUGACAUGGACCAGCGGGUAUGGCUGAAGGACUUCCAGGACUUGGGCCGACAUACCGCAACACCCCACCCAGAGUCUCCACCAUGUACCUCAAACACGGACUGUGCAACCCCAAAUCUUCCGACUAAGAAGGCCCUUUCUGCGGCCCUCGAUUACUCGAAGCCAGGAAGACUUCGCUCAACUCCAACGCAGGCUGGCAGCGAAGGUGCGCUCUGUACUCUGGGAACUGUAGUCCUGAGAAACCCCAUACUCAGGCUGGAGCAAGUGACCUACUUUCUGUGUACACUACACUUCCCUGAAUGCUUUGCGAAGGUUCAGCCAGCUAAUUACGCAUGCCCGGUAAGGGGAGCUGGCCGAGGUCCGGGGAACCGAGGAAAAGUUUCCGAUGCACAUGCGCGCUGUGGCGGACGCCCCCCCACCCCGCCCACCGCCUAAUACAUUUUAUAUAAAUUCUA